UUAAAUUAAAACGAUUGUAUCCGCUAGUUAUUCCGCACAAACAACAUUGCUCAUUUACAUUGUAAAUGAGCAUUCUAAAAUCAAAUUGAACUAUACUGGCCACCAUACAUUGUGCAAGGCCAACACGCUAAUUGAUUGUGACUUCAUCGUUUGUCAUUUUGACGGGAUGUCAUUCUUCUAUCCGUGUUGCAAGUGGAGGUGUAAUUAUAAACACGGAUAUGAUGGGACUACUCAGCACAGAAAGUCAAAGACACAUCAACCGUUUUCAAGUUCAAAUGCCAACAUCCCUGGUAGAUCGGUGUUGGCUUACGGAAUACUGACUGGCCCUCUACAGUCUUCAACACGUACGUCCUGCUUAUGCUGCAGCCCAACGCACUAACACAAACAACAAACCCAGAGGGAAGGAUAAGGUGUACGGUGAAGUUCCGACACAACACAACCUAUAAUGGAUUCCCACCUCUCCAAUACAACUAUAGGGUAAUAUAAUAACUCAAAAGACAUGCAAGGGGUAUGGCGGUGAAGACAUGACAGAGGGUUGAACCGGAGAGGGAAGGACAUGGCAUGUGACUGCAUUGCAUCGGGAUCGAACCUGGCACUACGGGACGUGUUGCCUAGGUGGUGGUUAGCUCCCAAGGUGUUUGCCGCGCCACCUCCUCAUGUCUGACGCACUAUUCAGACAUGCAAAGACCUCCCAGGGGAACUCCCCCCCCCCCUGAGUGAUGACGGGAGAUAUUUCAACAUCGACAUCGAUUACAGAUGACAUAAUAGAAGCCAGCGUGGGUCCGUGUGACUCCAGAGGGAGGGGGGGACGCUGUUUACAUACCGCGUAACGGUUUUGAACUGCUCAGUGUUUGUCUGCCUUCCCUACCUCCACCUCCUCCUCCAUCUCCAUCCUGCCCUUCCCACCAACUUAUGGAUCAGGGACGGUCGGUAGAUGGAUCCCCUGUUGCUUUGGCUUAGCUCAUUGAUACUUUGAUCUCAGUGUAAGCACAUGACGUCCUCAUGCAUAGUCAGGCUAUUGAUUUCCCAGCAUGCCCUCGUCCCGGAGAAUGGAUUGGACGACUAAUUGUGUCCUCGCGUUCUCAGCAGCGUCUCCCUCCAAACCUAAACUCGGUAUCUACCCGUUGCCAUGACACCGGCUUUUUUAACCCAGAGAGAGAGAACCACAGAGCCACCACUCGAGUGCCGAUUACUUUCCCGGUAUUACAUUUUCAUGCCCUUUGCCUGAAGUUACCUCCAAUUAAAAGUAAAAUUGCGUAAACAUUUGACUUGGCGCCAUAAUCAGAAUAUUUCUUAAAAGACUCCCAGUCUAACUGUGGUCUUUGAUCGCACGACAACAGUAAUUGGGUUGGAGUUCAGCUGCAGAAAUGGGUUUUUGAUUCUCAAUGUGGAUGCGAGGGAACCCUUUCAAUUAGUUAUUUAGUCCGACGCAGGGCCCAGCAUUCCACCCCCACCCCCCCC
ensembl:lncRNA